AGGGUCUGAGAAGGGGUGCUAGGGUGGGUGGAAGGGUGCAUUAGGGAAGAGAGGUGCAGGAGUCGGGUAAAGGACCAGAUGAGGUGGUCAUCACGGCCUUAGGGCCCAGGGUCCAGGGGGAGAGCCAGGGGUGUGUGCGGGAGCGCACAGGGAUGGGCGCGAGCCAGUGGGGGACCGGAAAGAUGCAAGCCUAGGCCGGGAGGGGACAUGAAUCUGGGUCUGGGUGACAAGUAGAUGAAUCCAAGUGCGUAGGGUAGGGGAGGGAAGACGCUAUAGGAUGCCAGGAGAUCAGCGCAUCGGGAAUGGAAACUGGGGGGAACUUAGAAAUUGAGGCAGGUGACAGAGUCAGAUGACAUCAGGAGGCUGGCUUCCUACCCCGGGCUCUAGGCUGCCUGGAUCCCCAGGGUUCCUAGGGAAGUGGCUUGACGCCACAUGCGGGCACAUUCUUCUGGGCCAGGCCUUGGAUCCUGGAAUCAUGGCUUGGUGGUGCCUAGAUGGGCUUCCCCACGGUUCUACCACACCAUGGAGAGAUCUGUGGAGACUGGGUCCCCUACACUGUGUGGGCGCUCUCUCACCUCCCAGGGACCGUAGACAGUUACAGAGAAAGGUGACCUGAAAAUUGAAUUGGCGUUUCCUUGUUUCUCCUGUUGUCCAGGGAAACAUAGAUGGCUGGAGACAGAAUCUAGACCCUUUAAAUAAUGUGGAGAUGUUACCACCUUCAGGUUUUGCUGGGCUGGUUCCCCCCUCUCACUUCCAAACCCGACCCCUUCCAACUCUGCCGAGAAUGGCCCCCACCUGGGCUUCAGACAUUCCUCUGGUCCAAUCCACGGCCCGGCAAGAUGUCUUAGAGAGGCGGCUGGACACUCAGAGGCGGCCAGUAGCUGUGUGGGAACUGGAUGUCUGUGGAGAUGGACAAGGACCAGGGCAGAGAG